rnacentral:rRNA from 1 species
UACGAGGGGGGCGAGCGUUGUUCGGAAUUAUUGGGCGUAAAGCGUGCGCAGGCGGUUCGUUGUGUCGGCGGUGAAAGCCCCGGGCUUAACCUGGGAAUGGCCGUUGAAACUGGCGAACUGGAGUGUGGCAGAGGGGGGUGGAAUUCCGCGUGUAGCAGUGAAAUGCGUAGAGAUGCGGAGGAACACCGAUGGCGAAGGCAGCCCCCUGGGCUGACACUGACGCUCAGGCACGAAAGCGUGGGGAGCAAACAGG